rnacentral:rRNA from 1 species
GAUGAACGCUGGCGGCGUGCCUAAUACAUGCAAGUCGAGCGAACAGACGAGGAGCUUGCUCCUCUGACGUUAGCGGCGGACGUGUGAGUAACACGUGGAUAACCUACCUAUAAGACUGGGAUAACUUCGGGAAACCGGCGCUAAUACCGGAUAAUAUAUUGAACCGCAUGGUUCAAUAGUGAAAGACGGUUUUGCUGUCACUUAUAGAUGGAUCCGCGCCGCAUUAGCUAGUUGGUAAGGUAACGGCUUACCAAGGCAACGAUGCGUAGCCGACCUGAGAGGGUGAUCGGCCACACUGGAACUGAGACACGGUCCAGACUCCUACGGGAGGCAGCAGUAGGGAAUCUUCCGAAAUGGGCGAAAGCCUGACGGAGCAACGCCGCGUGAGUGAUGAAGGUCUUCGGAUCGUAAAACUCUGUUAUUAGGGAAGAACAAAUGUGUAAGUAACUAUGCACGUCUUGACGGUACCUAAUCAGAAAGCCACGGCUAACUACGUG